rnacentral:rRNA from 1 species
AGAGUUUGAUCCUGGCUCAGGAUGAACGCUAGCGGCAGGCUUAACACAUGCAAGUCGAGGGGCAGCGGGGAGUAGCAAUACUCUGCCGGCGACCGGCAAAAGGGUGCGUAACGCGUGAGCAACUUGCCCGUAUCUGGGGGAUAACCGAUGGAAACGUCGCCUAAUACCCCGUAACAAGGGUUCCUGCAUGGGAGUCCUUUGAUAGCUCCGGCGGAUACGGAUGGGCUCGCGUGACAUUAGCUAGAUGGCGGGGUAACGGCCCACCAUGGCGACGAUGUCUAGGGGCUCUGAGAGGAAGAUCCCCCACACUGGAACUGAGACACGGUCCAGACUCCUACGGGAGGCAGCAGUGAGGAAUAUUGGACAAUGGAGGCAACUCUGAUCCAGCCAUGCCGCGUGAAGGACUAAGGCCCUACGGGUCGUAAACUUCUUUUGACGCAGGGCAAUAAGGCGUACGUGUACGCCGAUGAGAGUAUGCGUCGAAUAAGCAUCGGCUAACUCCGUGCCAGCAGCCGCGGUAAUACGGAGGAUGCAAGCGUUAUCCGGAUUUAUUGGGUUUAAAGGGUGCGUAGGCGGAUGAUUAAGUCAGUGGUGAAAGGUCCCGGCUCAACCGGGGAGCUGCCAUUGAUACUGGUCGUCUUGAAUGCGGAUGCCGUGGGAGGAAUGUGUGGUGUAGCGGUGAAAUGCAUAGAUAUCACACAGAACACCGAUUGCGAAGGCAUCUCACGAAUCCGUUAUUGACGCUGAGGCACGAAAGCGUGGGGAUCAAACAGGAUUAGAUACCCUGGUAGUCCCGACCUUAAACGGUGCACACUCGGGGUGGGGCCCUUUCAUCGGCCCCGUCCCUCAGCUAACGCGUUAAGUGUGCCGCCUGGGGAGUACGGCCGCAAGGCUAAAACUCAAAGAAAUUGACGGGGGCCCGCACAAGCAGAGGAGCAUGUGGCUUAAUUCGAUGCAACGCGAAGAACCUUACCUGGAUUUGACAUCGUCGGCAAUGCCCUGUGAAAGCAGGGCGGAGGUUAUCCGAUAGACAGGUGCUGCAUGGCUGUCGUCAGUUCGUGCCGUGAGGUGUUUGGUUAAGUCCACCAACGAACGCAACCCCUUUGACGUGUUGCCAGCGGGUAAUGCCGGGAACUCGCGUCACACUGCCUGUUUACGCAGGAGGAAGGUGGGGAUGACGUCAAGUCAGUAUGGCCCUUACAUCCAGGGCUGCACACGUGCUACAAUGGCCGGUACAGAGGGACGCGAGACCGCAAGGUGGAGCCAAUCCCAGAGAGCCGGCCCCAGUUCAGAUCGGGGUCUGCAACCCGACCCCGUGAAGUCGGAUUUGCUAGUAACGGCGUAUCAGCUACGACGCCGUGAAUGCGUUCCCGGGCCUUGCACUCACCGCCCGUCAAG